rnacentral:sRNA from 1 species
CACGAUCCAGCUGCCAACCAUCUAGCCUACCCUGAUCUCUGAGCAGCGGUCGUCCUCAUUUUACUCCAGAGGAGACUGAAGCCAGAAGGGUCUCCCGCUGUAACCCAGGCUGGAAUGCAGUGGCGUGAUCACGGCUCACAGUGUUGCCCAGGCUGGGCGCAAACCAUCCUCCCGCCUCAGCCUCCCAGUGCCAGGCGUGAGCCAUGGCACCCGGCUUCAUCUCUGUGUUUCCAGAGAGGUUAUCAAAUGAUGUGUCCAAGGGCACCAAAUGAGGCAGUGACAAAGCUAGGUCCAAGUCUGUUUCAAAGCCCAUUUUCCCCCUCUUGCUUAAGUUAUACCGCCUCCAAGGCAAAUGAGUUAUGUAAAGUGCCUAACUCCCUCUUGUGACUUCCCCAUUGCCCUCAGAAUAAAAAGUCUUAAACUCCCUACUAUGUCCUACAAA